CAUAUGCUUGUCUCAAAGAAUAAGCCAUGCAUGUCUAAGUACAAACUAUAUUAAAGUGAAACCGCGAAAGGCUCAUUAAAUCAGUUAUGGUUCCUUAGAUCGUACCACAAAUACUUGGAUAACUGUGGUAAUUCUAGAGCUAAUACAUGCAAACAGAGCUCUGACCGGAGACGGAAGGAGUGCUUUUAUUAGAUCAAAACUAAUCGAUUGCGGUAUAAACAUUUCGGUGUUUUAUCGUAUAUCGUAUAUAAAUAAAUGGUGAAUCUGAAUAACUUUAAGCUGAUCGCAUGGUCUUGUACCGGCGACGCAUCUUUCAAAUGUCUGCCUUAUCAACUGUCGAUGGUAGGAUCUGCGCCUACCAUGGUUGUAACGGGUAACGGGGAAUCAGGUUCGAUUCCGGAGAAGGAGCCUGAGAAACGGCUACCACAUCCAAGGAAGGCAGCAGGCGCGCAAAUUACCCACUCCCGGCACGGGGAGGUAGUGACAAAAAAUAACGAUACGGGACUCAUCCGAGGCCCCGUAAUCGGAAUGAGUACACUUUAAAUCCUUUAACGAGGAUCUAUUGGAGGGCAAGUCUGGUGCCAGCAGCCGCGGUAAUUCCAGCUCCAAUAGCGUAUAUUAAAGUUGUGGCGGUUAAAAAGCUCGUAGUUGAAUUUGUGUCCCACACUGUUGGUCCACCGCCCGCGGUGUUAACUGGCAUGUUUGUGGGACCUCCUGCCGGUGGAUGUAAGUGGGGAUGGGAAUGGGUUUGGUUAAUUGUUCACUGUACGCAUUAUUGUUUCAUUUAUAACUCUCUGUAGUUGUGGUGUGCAAUAUUUGCGGCGGUUUCUCUUUUCCAUAUUAUACUCAUUUUCCAUUUAAAUUUAAACCUGCUCAUCCGACUUUUAUGUAAAUCCUGUCGCGGUGCUCUUAAUUGAGUGUCGAGGCGGGCCGGCACGUUUACUUUGAACAAAUUAGAGUGCUUAAAGCAGGCUAAUUAAUGCCUGAAUAAUUAGUGCAUGGAAUAAUGGAACAGGACCUUGGUUCUAUUUUGUUGGUUUUCGGAACCCCAAGGUAAUGAUUAAUAGGGACAGAUGGGGGCAUUCGUAUUGCGACGUUAGAGGUGAAAUUCUUGGAUCGUCGCAAGACGGACUAAAGCGAAAGCAUUUGCCAAAGAUGUUUUCAUUAAUCAAGAACGAAAGUCAGAGGUUCGAAGGCGAUCAGAUACCGCCCUAGUUCUGACCAUAAACGAUGCCAGCUAGCGAUCCGCCAAAGUUCCUCCGAUGACUUGGCGGGCAGCUUCCGGGAAACCAAAGCUUUUGGGUUCCGGGGGAAGUAUGGUUGCAAAGCUGAAACUUAAAGGAAUUGACGGAAGGGCACCACCAGGAGUGGAGCCUGCGGCUUAAUUUGACUCAACACGGGAAACCUCACCAGGCCCAGACACUGGAAGGAUUGACAGAUUGAGAGCUCUUUCUUGAUUCAGUGGGUGGUGGUGCAUGGCCGUUCUUAGUUGGUGGAGCGAUUUGUCUGGUUAAUUCCGAUAACGAACGAGACUCUAGCCUACUAAAUAGACGUUACACUUACCGGUAUCUCGAAGGCUCACAUCUCUCGUUUCUUUUACUACAUUAUAUCCCUUCUACGGGUAUGCAAUUCAUGUAUUUUGGGAUAAGAUGCUCUCAUUCAUACUGGAGAGUGGAGUUGUUAAUAGCAGCUCUUUCGUCUUUGGGUGGAUGUUGUAGUAUCUUUAUUUCGGGUGCAUGUUUGUUUAUUUUGUAGUUGUGGUGCGUGUAGUGGGCGGGAGUUUGUGGUUUUUACUACCGGCGUACAUAUAAAUCUUCUUAGAGGGACAGGCGGCUUCUAGCCGCACGAGAUUGAGCAAUAACAGGUCUGUGAUGCCCUUAGAUGUUGUGGGCCGCACGCGCGCUACACUGAAGGAAUCAGCGUGUCUUCCCUGUCCGAAAGGUCCGGGUAACCCGCUGAACCUCCUUCGUGCUAGGGAUUGGGGCUUGCAAUUAUUCCCCAUGAACGAGGAAUUCCCAGUAAGCGCGAGUCAUAAGCUCGCGUUGAUUACGUCCCUGCCCUUUGUACACACCGCCCGUCGCUACUACCGAUUGAAUGAUUUAGUGAGGUCUUCGGACUGGUACGCGGUGAUGUUUCGAUAUUACCGAUGUCGCUGGGAAGAUGACCAAACUUGAUUAUUUAGAGGAAU
rnacentral:rRNA from 1 species